AUUGAACGCUGGCGGCAGGCUUAACACAUGCAAGUCGAGCGGGGAAAAGUAGCUUGCUACUGGACCUAGCGGCGGACGGGUGAGUAAUGCUUAGGAAUCUGCCUAUUAGUGGGGGACAACAUCUCGAAAGGGAUGCUAAUACCGCAUACGUCCUACGGAAGAAAGCAGGGGACCUUCGGGCCUUGCGCUAAUAGAUGAGCCUAAGUCGGAUUAGCUAGUUGGUGGGGUAAAGGCCUACCAAGGCGACGAUCUGUAGCGGGUCUGAGAGGAUGAUCCGCCACACUGGGACUGAGACACGGCCCAGACUCCUACGGGAGGCAGCAGUGGGGAAUAUUGGACAAUGGGGGGAACCCUGAUCCAGCCAUGCCGCGUGUGUGAAGAAGGCCUUUUGGUUGUAAAGCACUUUAAGCGAGGAGGAGGCUACUGAGACUAAUACUCUUGGAUAGUGGACGUUACUCGCAGAAUAAGCACCGGCUAACUCUGUGCCAGCCGCCGCGGUAAUAC
rnacentral:rRNA from 1 species